rnacentral:rRNA from 1 species
AUUGAACGCUGGCGGCAUGCUUUACACAUGCAAGUCGAACGGUAACAGGCCUUCGGGUGCUGACGAGUGGCGAACGGGUGAGUAAUGCAUCGGAACGUGCCCAAUCGUGGGGGAUAACGUAGCGAAAGUUACGCUAAUACCGCAUAAGCCCUGAGGGGGAAAGUGGGGGACCGCAAGGCCUCACGCGAAUGGAGCGGCCGAUGUCAGAUUAGCUAGUUGGUGGGGUAAAGGCCCACCAAGGCGACGAUCUGUAGCGGGUCUGAGAGGAUGAUCCGCCACACUGGGACUGAGACACGGCCCAGACUCCUACGGGAGGCAGCAGUGGGGAAUUUUGGACAAUGGGCGCAAGCCUGAUCCAGCCAUGCCGCGUGAGUGAAGAAGGCCUUCGGGUUGUAAAGCUCUUUCGGCCGGGAAGAAAUCGCACAGGUUAAUACCCUGUGUGGAUGACGGUACCGGAAUAAGAAGCACCGGCUAACUACGUGCCAGCAGCCGCGGUAAAG